rnacentral:rRNA from 1 species
AUUGAACGCUGGCGGCAGGCCUAACACAUGCAAGUCGGGCGAGUGGCGGACGGGUUAGUAAUGUAUGGGGAUCUGCCUGAUGGCGGGGGAUAACUACUGGAAACGGUAGCUAAUACCGCAUACCAUCAGAUGAUCCCAGUUGGGAUUAGCUAGUAGGUGGGGUAACGGCUUGCCUAGGCGACGACCCCUAGCUGGUCUGAGAGGAUGAGCAGCAAAACUGGAACUGAGACACGGCCCAGACUCCUACGGGAGGCAGCAGUGGGGAAUAUUGCACAAUGGGCGCAAGCCUGAUGCAGCCAUGCCGCGUGUAUGAAGAAGGCCUUCGGGUUGUAAAGUACUUUCAGUGGGGAGGCGUUACCGACAGAAGAAGCACCGGCUAACUCCGUGCCAGCAGCCGCGGUAAUAC